rnacentral:rRNA from 1 species
UGGGGAAUAUUGCACAAUGGGCGCAAGCCUGAUGCAGCCAUGCCGCGUGUGUGAAGAAGGCCUUCGGGUUGUAAAGCACUUUCAGCGAGGAGGAAGGUGGUGAGCUUAAUACGCUCAUCAAUUGACGUUACUCGCAGAAGAAGCACCGGCUAACUCCGUGCCAGCAGCCGCGGUAAUACGGAGGGUGCAAGCGUUAAUCGGAAUUACUGGGCGUAAAGCGCACGCAGGCGGUUUGUUAAGUCAGAUGUGAAAUCCCCGGGCUCAACCUGGGAACUGCAUUUGAAACUGGCAAGCUAGAGUCUCGUAGAGGGGGGUAGAAUUCCAGGUGUAGCGGUGAAAUGCGUAGAGAUCUGGAGGAAUACCGGUGGCGAAGGCGGCCCCCUGGACGAAGACUGACGCUCAGGUGCGAAAGCGUGGGGCAGCAAACAGGAUUAGAUACCCUGGUAGUCCACGCUGUAAACGAUGUCGAUUUUGGAGGUUGUGCCCUUGAGGCGUGGCUUCCGGAGCUAACGCGUUAAA